GACGAACGCUGGCGGCGUGCCUAACACAUGCAAGUCGAACGGGGUAAGCUCUUCGGAACUUACUUAGUGGCGAACGGGUGAGUAACGCGUGAGAAACCUGCCUUUCAGUGGGGGACAACAGUUGGAAACGACUGCUAAUACGAGAUAAUAUGUAAUGAUCGCAUGGUCAAUACAUCAAAGCUCCGGCGGUACAGGAUGGACCCGCGUCUGAUUAGCUAGUUGGUGGGGUAAUGGCUCACCAAGGCGACGAUCAGUAGCCGACCUGAGAGGGUGAUCGGCCACAUUGGAACUGAGACACGGUCCAAACUCCUACGGGAGGCAGCAGGUGGGGAAUAUUGGGCAAUGGGGGAAACCCUGACCCAGCAACGCCGCGUGAAGGAAGAAGGCCUUCGGGUUGUAAACUUCUUUUAGUAGGGACGAAGAACGUGACGGUACCUACAGAAAAGCAACGGCUAACUACGUG
rnacentral:rRNA from 1 species